rnacentral:rRNA from 1 species
UACGAAGGGGGCUAGCGUUGCUCGGAAUCACUGGGCGUAAAGGGUGCGUAGGCGGGUCUUUAAGUCAGGGGUGAAGUCCUGGAGCUCAACUCCGGAACUGCCUUUGAUACUGAAGAUCUUGAGUUCGGGAGAGGUGAGUGGAACUGCGAGUGUAGAGGUGAAAUUCGUAGAUAUUCGCAAGAACACCAGUGGCGAAGGCGGCUCACUGGCCCGAUACUGACGCUGAGGCACGAAAGCGUGGGGAGCAAACAGG